rnacentral:rRNA from 1 species
GGGCUCUGCAAAAUCGUAAGAUGACGUAUAGGGCCUGACACCUGCCCGGUGCUGGAAGGUUAAGAGGAGAUGUUAUCGAUGAGUAAUUGUUGAGAAGCAUUGAAUUGAAGCCCCAGUAAACGGCGGCCGUAACUAUAACGGUCCUAAGGUAGCGAAAUUCCUUGUCGGGUAAGUUCCGACCUGCACGAAUGGUGUAACGAUCUGGACACUGUCUCAGCCAUGAGCUCGGUGAAAUUGUAGUAUCGGUGAAGAUGCCGAUUACCCGCAGUGGGACGAAAAGACCCUGUGCACCUUUACUAUAGCUUAGUAUUGUUCUUGGAUAAGUGAUGUGUAGGAUAGGUGGGAGACUGUGAAAUGGCGUCGCUAGGCGUUGUGGAGUCAUUGUUGAAAUACCACCCUUUGCUUAUUUGAGAUCUAACUCCCUUAUUGAGGAGGACAUUGCUUGGUGGGUAGUUUGACUGGGGUGGUCGCCUCCAAAAGAGUAACGGAGGCUUCUAAAGGUUCCCU